rnacentral:lncRNA from 1 species
UCAAAUCCCCACAUCUGAAACAACCACCUGUGACGCACCUGCAGUCCGAAUCCUUAUGCGAUCUACCACAAACUGAACAUUUCGGCUUCUGAUCUCAAUUUGGUGGUCCACCUCGAGGAGCUGGCGUAUUACGCGACCUCCCCGAGUCAUUAGAUCUGUCCGCUUCUCUUGCAUUCUGAUCACCUUAUCUGAAAGAAUCUCUAUUCCUCUUCUUCUGAUUUGCAUUUCGCUCUUCUCGAGUCUGCCUCCAUACUGAAUCCAAAGAUUUCGCUCUGAAAACGACAUCAUCAUAU